GAUGAACGCUGGCGGCGUGCCUAAUACAUGCAAGUCGAGCGAACAGACGAGGAGCUUGCUCCUCUGACGUUAGCGGCGGACGGGUGAGUAACACGUGGAUAACCUACCUAUAAGACUGGGAUAACUUCGGGAAACCGGAGCUAAUACCGGAUAAUAUAUUGAACCGCAUUGUUCAAUAGUGAAAGACGGUUUUGCUGUCACUUAUAGAUGGAUCCGCGCCGCAUUAGCUAGUUGGUAAGGUAACGGCUUACCAAGGCGACGAUGCGUAGCCGACCUGAGAGGGUGAUCGGCCACACGAGAACUGAGACACGGUCCAGACUCCUACGGGACGCAGCAGUAGGGAAUCUUCCGCAAUGGGCGAAAGCCUGACGGAGCAACGCCGCGUGAGUGAUGAAGGUCUUCGGAUCGUAAAACUCUGUUAUUAGGGAAGAACAAAUGUGUAAGUAACUAUGCACGUCUUGACGGUACCUAAUCAGAAAGCCACGGCUAACUACGUG
rnacentral:rRNA from 1 species